GACGAACGCUGGCGGCGUGCUUAACACAUGCAAGUCGAACGGUGAAGCGCCUUCCUUUUUGGUGGGUGUGGAUGAGUGGCGAACGGGUGAGUAACACGUGAGUAACCUGCCCCCUUCUUCUGGAUAACCGCAUGAAAGUGUGGCUAAUACGGGAUAUUCUGGGUCUGUCGCAUGAUGGGUCUGGGAAAGAUAUUGUUUCGGUGGGGGAUGGGCUCGCGGCCUAUCAGCUUGUUGGUGGGGUGAUGGCCUACCAAGGCGGUGACGGGUAGCCGGCCUGAGAGGGUGGACUGUCACACUGGGACUGAGACACGGCCCAGACUCCUACGGGAGGCAGCAGUGGGGAAUAUUGCACAAUGGGCGCAAGCCUGAUGCAGCGACGCCGCGUGAGGGAUGGAGGCCUUCGGGUUGUGAACCACUUUCGCCAGUGAAGCAGGCCUGCCUCGUUUGUGGGUGGGUUGACGGUAGCUGGAUAAGAAGCGCCGGCUAACUACGUG
rnacentral:rRNA from 1 species